AUACUUACCUGGCAAGGGAGACACCGUGAUCACCAAGGCGGUUUACCCAGGGCGAGGCUCGGCCAUUGCACUCCGGCUGUGCUGACCCCUGCGAAUUUCCCAAAUGUGGAAAUCUCGAUUGCAUAAUUUCUGGUAGUGGGGGACUGCGUUCGCGCUCUCCCCUG
ensembl:snRNA U1 U1 spliceosomal RNA